GACCUUGUAGCUCAGUGGUAGAGCUCCUGGUGCAGUUCCGGGUGGUCUGGGGUUCGAUUCCCUGUGAGGUCA
rfam:Hebeloma cylindrosporum h7 unplaced genomic scaffold scaffold_14, whole genome shotgun sequence.